rnacentral:rRNA from 1 species
AUUGAACGCUGGCGGCAUGCCUUACACAUGCAAGUCGAACGGCAGCACGGGAGCAAUCCUGGUGGCGAGUGGCGAACGGGUGAGUAAUACAUCGGAACGUGCCCAAUCGUGGGGGAUAACGCGGCGAAAGCUGUGCUAAUACCGCAUACGAUCUACGGAUGAAAGCAGGGGAUCGCAAGACCUUGCGCGAAUGGAGCGGCCGAUGGCAGAUUAGGUAGUUGGUGAGGUAAAGGCUCACCAAGCCGUCGAUCUGUAGCUGGUCUGAGAGGACGACCAGCCACACUGGGACUGAGACACGGCCCAGACUCCUACGGGAGGCAGCAGUGGGGAAUUUUGGACAAUGGGCGAAAGCCUGAUCCAGCCAUGCCGCGUGCAGGAUGAAGGCCUUCGGGUUGUAAACUGCUUUUGUACGGAACGAAACGGCCUUUUCUAAUAAAGAGGGCUAAUGACGGUACCGUAAGAAUAAGCACCGGCUAACUACGUGCCAGCAGCCGCGGUAAUACGUAGGGUGCAAGCGUUAAUCGGAAUUACUGGGCGUAAAGCGUGCGCAGGCGGUUAUGUAAGACAGUUGUGAAAUCCCCGGGCUCAACCUGGGAACUGCAUCUGUGACUGCAUAGCUAGAGUACGGUAGAGGGGGAUGGAAUUCCGCGUGUAGCAGUGAAAUGCGUAGAUAUGCGGAGGAACACCGAUGGCGAAGGCAAUCCCCUGGACCUGUACUGACGCUCAUGCACGAAAGCGUGGGGAGCAAACAGG